AUUGAACGCUGGCGGCAGGCCUAACACAUGCAAGUCGAGCGGAUGAAGGGAGCUUGCUCCUGGAUUCAGCGGCGGACGGGUGAGUAAUGCCUAGGAAUCUGCCUGGUAGUGGGGGAUAACGUCCGGAAACGGGCGCUAAUACCGCAUACGUCCUGAGGGGGAAAGUGGGGGAUCUUCGGACCUCACGCUAUCAGAUGAGCCUAGGUCGGAUUAGCUAGUUGGUGGGGUAAAGGCCUACCAAGGCGACGAUCCGUAACUGGUCUGAGAGGAUGAUCAGUCACACUGGAACUGAGACACGGUCCAGACUCCUACGGGAGGCAGCAGUGGGGAAUAUUGGACAAUGGGCGAAAGCCUGAUCCAGCCAUGCCGCGUGUGUGAAGAAGGUCUUCGGAUUGUAAAGCACUUUAAGUUGGGAGGAAGGGCAGUAAGUUAAUACCUGGCUGUUUUGACGCCACCAACAGAAUAAGCACCGGCUAACUUCGUG
rnacentral:rRNA from 1 species